UACGGGGGGAGCAAGCGUUGUUCGGAUUUACGGGGCGUAAAGGGCGCGUAGGCGGCCACCGCAAGUGGACGGUGAAAUCUCCGGGCUUAACCCGGAAAGGUCAGCCGAUACUGCGGGGCUAGAGUGCAGAAGGGGCAACUGGAAUUCUCGGUGUAGCGGUGAAAUGCGUAGAUAUCGAGAGGAACACCUGCGGCGAAGGCAGGUCUCUGGGCCACUACUGACGCUGAGAAGCGAAAGCAUGGGGAGCGAACAGG
rnacentral:rRNA from 1 species